rnacentral:rRNA from 1 species
AUGUUCACAUGAUUAAAGGUAUUCCGGUAGACGAUGGGGAUGCGUUCCAUUAGAUAGUAGGCGGGGUAACGGCCCACCUAGUCUUCGAUGGAUAGGGGUUCUGAGAGGAAGGUCCCCCACAUUGGAACUGAGACACGGUCCAAACUCCUACGGGAGGCAGCAGUGAGGAAUAUUGGUCAAUGGGCGAGAGCCUGAACCAGCCAAGUAGCGUGAAGGAUGACUGCCCUAUGGGUUGUAAACUUCUUUUAUAAAGGAAUAAAGUCGGGUAUGUAUACCCGUUUGCAUGUACUUUAUGAAUAAGGAUCGGCUAACUCCGUGCCAGCAGCCGCGGUAAUACGGAGGAUCCGAGCGUUAUCCGGAUUUAUUGGGUUUAAAGGGAGCGUAGAUGGAUGUUUAAGUCAGUUGUGAAAGUUUGCGGCUCAACCGUAAAAUUGCAGUUGAUACUGGAUAUCUUGAGUGCAGUUGAGGCAGGCGGAAUUCGUGGUGUAGCGGUGAAAUGCUUAGAUAUCACGAAGAACUCCGAUUGCGAAGGCAGCCUGCUAAGCUGCAACUGACAUUGAGGCUCGAAAGUGUGGGUAUCAAACAGGAUUAGAUACCCUGGUAGUCCACACGGUAAACGAUGAAUACUCGCUGUUUGCGAUAUACUGCAAGCGGCCAAGCGAAAGCGUUAAGUAUUCCACCUGGGGAGUACGCCGGCAACGGUGAAACUCAAAGGAAUUGACGGGGGCCCGCACAAGCGGAGGAACAUGUGGUUUAAUUCGAUGAUACGCGAGGAACCUUACCCGGGCUUAAAUUGCAGAUGAAUUACGGUGAAAGCCGUAAGCCGCAAGGCAUCUGUGAAGGUGCUGCAUGGUUGUCGUCAGCUCGUGCCGUGAGGUGUCGGCUUAAGUGCCAUAACGAGCGCAACCCUUGUUGUCAGUUACUAACAGGUUCCGCUGAGGACUCUGACAAGACUGCCAUCGUAAGAUGUGAGGAAGGUGGGGAUGACGUCAAAUCAGCACGGCCCUUACGUCCGGGGCUACACACGUGUUACAAUGGGGGGUACAGAGGGCCGCUACCACGCGAGUGGAUGCCAAUCCCCAAAACCUCUCUCAGUUCGGACUGGAGUCUGCAACCCGACUCCACGAAGCUGGAUUCGCUAGUAAUCGCGCAUCAGCCACGGCGCGGUGAAUACGUUCCCGGGCCUUGUACACACCGCCCGUCAAGCCAUGGGAGCCGGGGGUACCUGAAGUGCGUAACCGCGAGGAGCGCCCUAGGGUAAAACUGGUGACUGGGGCUAAGUCGUAACAAGGUAGCCGUACCGGAAGGUGCGGCUG